rnacentral:rRNA from 1 species
ACGGAAGGCAGCAGUGAGGAAUAUUGGUCAAUGGGCGGAAGCCUGAACCAGCCAAGUCGCGUGAAGGAUGAAGGUAUUAUGUAUUGUAAACUUCUUUAGACGUAGAGAAAUAAGUGCCUCGUGAGGCAUGGUGCUAGUAUACGUAGAAUAAGGAUCGGCUAACUCCGUGCCAGCAGCCGCGGUAAUACGGAGGAUCCGAGCGUUAUCCGGAUUUAUUGGGUUUAAAGGGUGCGCAGGCGGCCCUGUAAGUCAGCGGUUAAAUCGUGGAGCUCAACUCCAUCCCGCCGUUGAUACUGCAGGGCUUGAUUGCGGUCGAGGUUGGCGGAAUUCGCCGUGUAGCGGUGAAAUGCAUAGAUAUGGCGAAGAACUCCGAUUGCGUAGGCAGCUGACCAGGCCGUAAAUGACGCUCAUGCACGAAAGUGCGGGGAUCGAACAGGAUUAGAUACCCUGGUA